UACGAGGGGGGCAAGCGUUGUUCGGAAUUAUUGGGCGUAAAGGGCGCGUAGGCGGUGCGGUAAGUCACCUGUGAAACCUCUAGGCUUAACCUAGAGCCUGCAGGCGAAACUGCCGUGCUUGAGGGUGGGAGAGGUGCGUGGAAUUCCCGGUGUAGCGGUGAAAUGCGUAGAUAUCGGGAGGGACACCUGUGGCGAAAGCGGCGCACUGGACCACAUCUGACGCUGAGGCGCGAAAGCUAGGGGAGCAAACAGG
rnacentral:rRNA from 1 species